AGAACGAACGCUGGCGGCAUGCCUAACACAUGCAAGUCGAACGCUCUUGGGGCUUCGGUUCCAAGGGAGUGGCGCACGGGUGAGUAGCGCGUGGGAACCUGCCCUGGAGUGGGGGAUAACCGAGGGAAACUUCGGCUAAUACCGCAUGCGCCCGGUUUACCUCGAAAGGGGGAAACCGGGGAAAGAUUUAUCGCUCUAGGAGGGGCCCGCGUCGGAUUAGCUAGUUGGUGGGGUAACGGCCUACCAAGGCUUUGAUCCGUAGCUGGUCUGAGAGGAUGAUCAGCCACACUGGGACUGAGACACGGCCCAGACUCCUACGGGAGGCAGCAGUGGGGAAUAUUGGACAAUGGGCGCAAGCCUGAUCCAGCAAUGCCGCGUGAGUGAUGAAGGCCUUCGGGUUGUAAAGCUCUUUCGCACGCGAGGAUGAUGACGCUAGCGUGAGAAGAAGCCCGGCUAACUUCGCGCCAGCAGCCGCGGUAA
rnacentral:rRNA from 1 species